UCACAACUAGGGCUGAACACAAGCCGAGGGGAGUUCAUGAAAAGUGGUAGAGGUCUUCAGCAAGGCAAAACAACAAUUCCUUUGAUGACAUUCCUAGGCUAACCUUACUCAAAAAGGUUUACUAAAUAAUUUUUAUUUCCAACCUUUCUAAGCAUGUGCGGCUACUCACUGUUGCUCAGCAUGUCAUCAAGGGACGAAUGAGUAUUUCAGAAUUUC